rnacentral:tRNA from 1 species
GGGCCUAUAGCUCAGUUGGUUAGAGCGCAUCACUGAUAAUGAUGAGGUCGCAAGUUCAAUUCUUGCUAGGCCCA